ensembl:snoRNA
UGCCCCUGACCUGGCGAGAGAGGGGCCUGGCUGGUGGUGCCCAUCUCAUACCAGCUAGGGAUUUAGAAACCGCUUGCUCAUCCCAGCCUGGCUCCUGGUCUAUGCCCAUACCUGGUUCAUGCCUUGGACAGACCA